UGUUUGGGGUCCUAACGAGACCCUUGUAAUCAAUACAGCAGUUUCUUUGAAUAAUAACGAUAACGACGAAACUGAACAAUUAAAAACAUGUACCUGUAUCUGGUACUGAGGUUCUGAUGGAUGAAAGUCCGAGUCUGAAUCUCCAGGGGCAGGAAGCCGAGCAGCAGACAAGUCCACGCCGGCAGGAGUGCACUCAUGACCGCGCUCGGGAGACUCGCAGCAAGUGGUACCCUUGAGCUGGAUCUCACAGGAAGGAGUCCUAGAGCCAUGAUGAGGUCCCGCAGUGGCUCCGUGUCCUGCGCAUCCAGGAGCGCGUGCUGCCUGCAGAAGAGCGUGAGGUGUGUGAAAAGUGUGUUGAGAUGUGGGUGCAGCCCCAGUGCAAGCGUCUCUCGGUAGUGGGACCAGUAAAUGUGGGCCAGAGUCCUGAACAGCAGCAAAAAGACCUUCUGGACGAGAAAGAUGAAGCCUGUGGGGAACACUGAACCUGGUGGUAGAGAUGAGCACUUUAGUCAGAAUCGGUGAUGCUCAACUGAAUAAAAAGUUUGUAACUUUUACCUGCUUUUGUAGGGAACACAUCUUCAUCAGUUAGUAGAUCCUGAAUGUAGGACAUGGCAUAGUCAAAGUAAAGUGGAGCGGAACACUUCAGCUUCCUGCCGUGGUCAUCGGUCCAAAAAUAAACUCUAAAACAA